UCUCCUAGGUGAUUUCAGCUCUUCCUCUCC
rnacentral:piRNA from 1 species